GAUGCUUCAUUAUAUUAGCAGUCCUUUCACCAGUCUGUAACAAUUAAACGAAAUCAGAUAAAGACAAGUUUCAUUUCACACAAAAUAAAGCACAAUCAGAAAGAUAGCGUGAACUUCUAAUGAGAGCUUUGUCUACUGCAAUACUAAAAUAGUAACCAGGGAUACCAUAUCCAACAAUGCUAGUGGCCUGAAUUUCUUUUAGAACCAAACAACCAGACAAAAACUGGCAAAAUUACAAGUGCUUAACCAAAUACAAAAGCAGAACUCCCAAAAAUUUAACUUCAAGCAGAAUAAGGAAGAGUAAAAGUGGAGGUGCUCAGUUUAAUAAUUUUGAAUGGUUUGAGCUUGUCUUCACUAGUAAGCACAUAUAUCAGGUUAACGAGAAAAACAUCACUGCAGCCUCCAAAUUUAGUAACAAACUCAGAUCCGAAACAGAAAAGGGCCAGAGCAAAAUAGUUCUUUUGCCCUAAGCAACGGUAGAAAUGGUGGCGCUCAGUUUAAUAGUUUUGAAUGGUUUGACUUUCUCUUCAUUAGUAAGCAUAUCUCAGGUUAACGAGAAAAA